UGGGGAAUAUUGCACAAUGGGCGCAAGCCUGAUGCAGCCAUGCCGCGUGUAUGAAGAAGGCCUUCGGGUUGUAAAGUACUUUCAGCGGGGAGGAAGGGAGUAAAGUUAAUACCUUUGCUCAUUGACGUUACCCGCAGAAGAAGCACCGGCUAACUCCGUGCCAGCAGCCGCGGUAAUACGGAGGGUGCAAGCGUUAAUCGGAAUUACUGGGCGUAAAGCGCACGCAGGCGGUUUGUUAAGUCAGAUGUGAAAUCCCCGGGCUCAACCUGGGAACUGCAUCGGAUACUGGCAAGCUUGAGUCUCGUAGAGGGGGGUAGAAUUCCAGGUGUAGCGGUGAAAUGCGUAGAGAUCUGGAGGAAUACCGGUGGCGAAGGCGGCCCCCUGGACAAAGACUGACGCUCAGGUGCGAAAGCGUGGGGAGCAAACAGG
rnacentral:rRNA from 1 species